rnacentral:lncRNA from 1 species
CGGCAGUAGCGAUGAUCACUCCGGCGAAAUGGAAGCUGAAGAAGAGAAGGAACAGAGGAGGAGACAGGGAGGACAUGAUUGCAAUUCUCUCCGUCUCUCUCUCUCUCUUUCUCGGAGAAUUGAGAAGAGAGAAAAGUGGUGGUUUUUGAAUGAGCAGAAUCUACGGGGAAACAAGGCUCGAAAUUAUGAAGGUUUAAUUUUUUAAAAAUGUUUUUCUAAUUUCUUUUAGGUUUCUUGUUACUCCGUUGACACAAG